rnacentral:rRNA from 1 species
CCCCCUCCGUCCUGGGCCCCAGUCCCUCCGGGGGCGCCCUUAUUCAGUGCCAUCCCUGGAGGGGCUGAAAAGCGUUCCCAAUUUGUAAUGGGCGGACAAAAUCCAUACUCGUGUGGGGGGCCCCCAUUAAUAGGUUUCCUGGUUUUUGACGCGUGAGACGCCCCUAUUGGGAGCGGCCCCAAGUGCCGGGUCGUCCGUUUGAAGAAAAAAGGCCGGAGGAUUGGGGCCCGCUGCUUUUUGUCUAGUAAAUGUUGCAAACAAACUCAGCAGAAGUAA